GAUGAACGCUGGCGGCGUGCUUAACACAUGCAAGUCGAACGGACUUAUCAUGAAGCCUAGCGAUUGAUAAGUUAGUGGCGGACGGGUGAGUAACGCGUGGGUAACCUGCCUCACACUGGGGGAUAACAGUUAGAAAUAGCUGCUAAUACCGCAUAAGCGCACGGGACCGCAUGGUCCAGUGUGAAAAACUCCGGUGGUGUGAGAUGGACCCGCGUCUGAUUAGCUAGUUGGUGAGGUAACGGCUCACCAAGGCGACGAUCAGUAGCCGGCCUGAGAGGGGUNAACGGCCACAUUGGGACUGAGACACGGCCCAAAUCCUACGGGAGCAGCAGUGGGAAUAUUGCACGAAUGGGGAAACCCUGAUGCAGCGACGCCGCGUGAGCGAUGAAGUAUUCGGUAUGUAAAGCUCUAUCAGCAGGGAAG
rnacentral:rRNA from 1 species